CAGGCUAACCCCUAAAAGCUGUGCUGUGGGGAAUCCAUUUUCCUGACCAGCAAAGAAACAAUCUGCUGCAGAAGGGGCUCCUUUAAUAGUCUGGUGAAGUGUCCUUCUAAUGAACUUUGCCAUUACUGAAGCUGUAAUGUUUGAUGCAAUCUGACAAUCUGGAGCAGAGUCUGUCCAGCCAAGGAUAUAGGAGAGGUAAUAAAAUGAGGACUUCUCCUUGGUUUUGCAGAAUGUUCAUGCUUAUUCUGAGCGCACUCCCCAACUGCAUGUUUAUGAGAGUGCAUAACCAUCCUUUCUUUAAGAAAGAAGAUCAAUAACGACUAGGACUGGACUAACCUCUUGCUACAGUAACACAGUUCUGAAUUGAGCCUUCAUCUGUGGCUGAUUCUGAAUCAACAUUAAUAAAACACUCCUUUGCAGGACUAAAGUUGUGCAGAUUUCAAAAUGUCAAAGAAGCUAGUGUAAAAUUUCACAAAUAUUAGACAGAUAGACAGAUAGAUAGAUAGACACAGUGAAUUCAUUUGGGUCGAAUUUUAGAAGUAACUAUGGAAACUAACUUUUCUCUGAAGAUAUUAAAAAUCUGCUUGGUCAUGAUCCUGUGCCACCUACUCUGGAUGAACCUGCUUUAGCAGGGGAGUUGAAAUAGAUAAUCACCAGACAUACCUUGCAAUCCCAACCAUGAUUCUGUGACAUUAAAAGACUAUUUGAGGGGAGUAAUUUUCAGAUAACAAGUACAACUGAGAAAUUUUAAAUGAGAUGGCAAUUUGUGGUUUUCUUAAUUGCAACUGACAUUGGUCCCACUCCUAUACAUAUAUUUGCUUAUCUUCUAAUCAGGACACUGAUUAUCUCUCCAUGGGUUAUUUAGAAUGCAGGAAAAGGCACAAGCAGGAGAAAGGGUUAAUCACAGUGUGAGAGCACUGUUACAGAGGUUCUCAAAAAGAAUGAAGACUAAAAAAAUAGACACAAAUAUAUUCUAUAUUUAAUGAUCCACAGAGUUGCACUAGCAUUGCAGGUAGUGCAUUGAGCCAUGAUAUUUGCUGUUCAGAUACAUCACCUUUAAAACUUUUCUUUGUGAGAAGCUUGUUGCUGGCCUCUUUAUCUGUAUUGUAUUUCCAUUUAGUUCAACUGCCAUAGUCUAUUAGGGAACAAUGUUUUAAAAAUGAUGGUAAUUAAAAAAAAGCUGAUUGACAGAGAAUCUGGAAAUCUUCCAUUUCUUCUGUUCCUUAGACAUUUCAGUACAAUCGUUCCAGUCCACAGCAACUAACACAGGAAAAAGGAAUAAACACAUAUGUCGACUAGAUGUUAUUAGAUAGAACCUGAAAACUGAACCUGUCAAAGCAUUUGGCACAAUAAGAGUACGAGGAAUGAGAGAAUCACCGGAAAUGCAAAUGGAAUUGUCAUGUUUGUUUGCACUUCUUGAAACUGGUAUUAGGGCUUAAAAUUUCAGUGGUUUGUUUUGGAGAUUUUUUCAUAUUUCCUUCUAGAGGUUUACUUAGGGUCCUUUCUCCUAAUUUAAUGCAGUAUUUUAUGUUCUUGCAAAUGUUUUAUCACUAUAAUAUAAUAGAUUCAAUGCCAUUACCAGGCAGCGAAGUUCACUUUUUAGUUGCAUCCAACAUUCUCUCUGUAAUAGCUCUCUGGAAAGUCACCUGAAAUUUCCACCUUAACAAGCUAUGUCAAUGCCAUUGUACUUGAUUUUUGCUCAGCUAAAUAGUGCCUGAAUUGUAUAAACUGUUUAAUACAGCUGGCACUCAGCAAGUAUUUAUCUGCAAUUCUAGAUUUGUAGAUUUAGCAUUCUUUCUCAUGAAAUGUGAUUUUUGUUUUGGAAUUUAGCAUGACAGCCUGUCCAGGAUCAAACUUUAUCUGAGAAGAGGACAGCUGCUGUUUGAGAAGUACACUUGUGGUUGCUUUUUAACAUCAACAAUUUGCACUUCAAAGUGGCACAGAAAAGAAGUCAUUGCCUAGAGGGACAGCUGAAAGAUAAAGUGAUAGAUACAUGGAAAAUCGUUGCUCCCAAUCUGCUUUUUUGAGGGGGGAAAAUAUUUAUAUUGAAGAAGAAAUAUAAAAUUGGUCAAUACUGGCCAUUUUACAAUGGACUUUUAAUAAAAUCAUAGAAUGGGGUGGGUUGGAAAGGACCUUAAAAAUCAUCUAGUUCCAACCCUCCUGCCAUGGACAUUUUCCACUGGACAGGAGGAUCCAAAGGGAAAAUUAGAAGAGCAAUCCUUACUGGUACAAUGUCUGAGAAGGAUGGAUGUCCAGGUAUGUAGGACUCAAACAUUUACAUGCCUCAUGAUCAUUUUUACCGGGAAAUGAAAAGGCAUCAGGGGCAGAAUCACAGAGUAAGUUUUUCUAGAAAAAAAAAUUUAAAUAAGAGAUGAGCAUAUGUAUUCUGGACUAGCUGCUGUAUUUCAAUAGUAUUGAAAUACAGAAGUGAAAGAUGCAUGAAAACUUACAGUAUUUUGGUUUUUGAGGUAACAAACAUAGCAGUUAUGAGAUCUGUAACCAAAGAAAAUACCACAGACCAGAUUUCUGACAAUAGUUAAUAAAGACACUCCAGUAGCUUGAAUGCCAGACUACCAUUUAAUCUAGGUUUAUCAGUCCUACUGCAAAUUCUACUAAAAUUACACUCUAGACACAUAAAAAUCUAAAGAAAUCUGUACUAUGACCUUUUGUUUUGCAGGUAAUGCAAAAAUAACCCACCCAAAACCCCUAGGAACUGGUACUAUGAAAGUAUCUCUGCACUUCUAGUAUUUCAGCAGUACAUUAAAGUUCUAUUGUUUUGUUUUGUUUCUAAAGACUUCUGACUGUUUCUGGAUGCUUAUUGCAUUGCAUAGGAAAUAAAAGCUUAUACAGCCAGAGAAGCAUAUUUUCCUAUGGGAUCUUGUCCAAAAGACUGCUUUUUCCUAAAAGUUCUGCUGAAAAUUUUCUUUCUAUUUCAUGUUGCAGAUAGUUUCCUUGAAUAGUCAGCUAGCUGUAGGUAAUAGUCAGUUAUAGGUCAAUCCUCCAGAGCUUUUUCUAAAGAUGAGAUUUUGUUGACUUUAAAGAAAGAGAUAGUAUCAUUAGUGGGCCUGCUGUGGACCCACUACUCCAAAAACAGGCACUGGAAAUAAUUUUCUGUCUCUUUUGUAUAAUUUUUGGAAAUUGUUGUAAAAUUUUAAAACAAAUUACAUAGAAUCAUAGAACAAUUAAAGUGAGAAAAGACAUUUAACAUCAUUGAGUACAACUGAACUGUAUUUUGCUGGAAUCAAAAGACCCAAAUUCAAAUCCCUGUUUUCAAAUACAAAUUAAAAAAAGAGGCAAGGAAAAUUCUGGCUUUAUUGUGUGAUAUCACAGGAUAAUUUAGCAUCCUGAAAGAGUAAUGAAGGUAGAAAUGGAAAGUUAACCAAAACAAAACUAUUAAUAAUAACUUCUAAAACCUCUGUAUGGCAACAGUAUUUCCUUUCAGUUAUGCAUUCCAGGUGUGUUACUAAAAACAGAGCAAGAGAAUUUAAGAAGGACUAAUGCUAUGUAAUCACUUAUUAAUUUGACACAAGGAUAUUCUUCUUACAGGUUUGAAACCUAGCUAAAUUCAACACAAUUAUGCCCCUUUUAUGCUCCCUGACUGAUCAACUGCCUUCAAUGCUGUUAACCAAGAUCCUUCUGAAAACUUGCUUGAUUUUUGUUUCUUGACUCUCCUUUCCUGGUCACUCUUCACCUGUGUAAAAAAGUUAGUCUUUCAAAGAGCAGGAAGUGGUCUUUUUCCUUCCAUCCUCCAUUUCCAAUUCCUUACUUUUGUUCUUACAAGGCCUUUUUCUACAGAAAAUGUGAUGCACAAGAACAAUUUACAAUCAAAUUAGCCUUUCACUGCUCAUUGUUUCAGUACAACUUUCUUACCUGACAAAUGAAAGUCACUCCCAUUACAUCAUCUCUUGGUAACAGUCCCAGCAGGGGCUCUAAAGAACUGCUAAUACAGUGCCAUGACAGGGCUCACUUUUAAGUGCCAUUUUUUGACUUUGAUAUCACUCUGGCUCUUCAGAGCCUAAUUUUGUUUGCACUUGUUUAGGUGUAGUUUUUUGCAAAUUAUAGAGCUAAAGAUCUUGUCUAGAUACAUCCUGCUUUUCAGUUAAAACAACAUUUUCUCCUUGUUUUGACAUCCACUGUUAAGUCUUGACCCACUUAUUCAUCCAUUUACUUUCUCCUGGCUUUUGCCCUCCCUUUUAAAAUUUUUCCAUCAGCUACUUGUACUUCUUCAUCUCUUUACAAUGAAGCAUAAUCCACUUUCCUUCAUUUUCGAGGACCUUAACAACCUUGAAACAGCCAGCUACCAUAUCUUAUUUAUGAUAAAAUGUCACCUCAUAUCUCAAGUGGAUGUGCCACUAUUUGUUAUAUUUUCAAAAAAGCUUCAUGCUACCUCUCAGACAUGGGAGGAGUUUCUCAGAAAUAUUUUCAGAGCAGCUGUUACCAUAUUUCAUCUCUCCCCUUAAAAUUCUACAUCAUGAUGCUCAUGAAAAAUGUUGGUAUCCAUUUGCUGAUGUACCCAUUCCUACUGCAUAUUGAUUUAGACAAUAUUGUCUCAGAGAUUUUUUAUUUAUCUACCUCUUAUGACUGCAUAUGCAUAAAAAACAAGUUAAUCAUGGCAGGAAUUGUAUUUUAUCCCCGUGUUUGAAAUGUUUUGCAACUUGGAUUAUGGUUGCAUGAAAGCAAAAUGCAGCUGUGCUUUUAGUAUGACAUGAGAGAGUAUUACUCUUUCAGUAGGUUGCAUUAGAUCUUUGGUAUUUCUGGCUGUGUAAAAGUAGAAUUUGUAUGAAUUUAGAAAGAGCUGAAUCUCAGCUUUGCUCAGAUAUGUUUUCACAGUCAUUGCUAGUGAAUUUUUUAGUCAUAAAAAAUAGCUGUAGACAAACAGUUUCAUUGUCUUAAUACUGAAAAUAUUUGUUACUUCCAGAUUUUUAUUCAUUUAGAAAAAAACAAUUAUUCCUACUUCAUAAGUUAAUUGGGGUCAUGAUAGUAAAAAGAUAUAACAGAGGUAAUAAGAGUGUGACAAAUAUAAGUAGCUUACAACUGCCUUAAAAGCUAUAGAGAACGAUAUAUUCAAGACACUGAUGAAACACUGAUUUGUGUAAUGUGUUUAUAAUAUUGUUAUUGUAUCCUUCAUUAUUUAAAAAUACAGUCUGGCAUCACUUGA